rnacentral:rRNA from 1 species
UACGGAGGAUGCAAGCGUUAUCCGGAUUCAUUGGGUUUAAAGGGUGCGUAGGCGGUCUUAUAAGUCAGUGGUGAAAGCCUGCAGCUUAACUGUAGAAUUGCCAUUGAUACUGUAGGACUAGAGUACAGACGACGUUGGCGGAAUAUGACAUGUAGCGGUGAAAUGCUUAGAUAUGUCAUAGAACACCGAUUGCGAAGGCAGCUGACGAGACUGUAACUGACGCUGAGGCACGAAAGUGUGGGGAUCAAACAGG